rnacentral:rRNA from 1 species
UACGUAGGUGGCAAGCGUUGUCCGGAAUUAUUGGGCGUAAAGCGCGCGCAGGCGGUCCUUUAAGUCUGAUGUGAAAGCCCACGGCUCAACCGUGGAGGGUCAUUGGAAACUGGGGGACUUGAGUACAGAAGAGGAAAGCGGAAUUCCACGUGUAGCGGUGAAAUGCGUAGAGAUGUGGAGGAACACCAGUGGCGAAGGCGGCUUCUGGUCUGUAACUGACGCUGAGGCGCGAAAGCGUGGGGAGCAAACAGG